AUAAACUGUCAGCCAUGAAAGUUGCAUCAUAAUUUUAUUUUAUUUGUAAAAAUCUUCCUCCUCACAAAUCCAAAGUAUAAUUAUCUAAAUAAGAAACCGUCCGCUACAAAAUAUCGCGGCACGCGAACGAAUAUGCGUCAGUUUAUCGAAUUUUGAUCGUAUUUAUUACGCCUAAGUGCUUAAAUUAUAACUCUAGUCCUUGGAGAAUAUGUAUUAAUCAAUGAAAUGGUCCGUGUCGGACUCAAGACACAAAGUAAUACUAGUUUAAACUGAUGUCAUCAUACACAAGCCACCAAACAGGAAUCACGAAUUGAAAAUCAAAUUUUUCGUCCCAUCUGUUCGUAGUUUAAAUUUAUUUUUUGUUAAUACUACAUAUAUUAGUACUGUUCCAAUAAUGCAUCAAUUUAUUAAAUUCUUCGUACGUAGCUACUUCCUGGAAUUAGACGGAUCCUCGGUAAUCAUUGAGCAUCUUCAUAAAAAACUAGUUGUAUGGUUUAUGAUCUCACAUUUAUUAUUUACAUUUCAUUAUUUACAAUGUUUCAAAUUUUCGUGCUCACGUAAAAAUAGCUUUAAUUACAAUAGGUCUACGAGUUGCGAAGACCGCAUAUAAUACAUAAGUAUAAAUUUUGUUUGUGGCAUUUCUAUCGUCUAAUUUAAUUUUAUUUAGUUUGCAAUGCAUACAACGAAAUGGCUUUUCCGUGUGCAGUUUAACGGGUUCUUCUGCUAUCGGACAUCGCACCAGUGUACCACAGACUCACGUAUAGUAAAAGCUACUGUAACAUAGAAGUGGCGUUCCAGGAAUCGAUUACGUGACGACGCCCGUGCCGGACUCCGAGCUAGCAAUCUAUGGUACUUUGUAAUUCUACGCAAAAUGUUCUUUUGAAACUAACACCCGUAUCUUUAGUCGUUCACACGAGCCUAACUCGACUCGACUCAACCUCCAACGCGCGUUUUGGUAUGAUUAGUCGUAAAAAUAAACUCCACUCAAACGUCCUUGGAAAAAUUUCCUAACC